rnacentral:rRNA from 1 species
CAUGCAGGCGGUCGGACGCGUUUUGUGUGACAGCGGGUGGCUUAACUACCCGAGUAUGCGAAAGACGGUCUGACUUGAGGACUCGAGAGGGACACGGAAUUCCGGGUGGAGUGGUGAAAUGCGUAGAGAUCCGGAGGAACACCGAAGGCGAAGGCAGUGUCCUGGCGAGUGACUGACGCUGAGGUGCGAAAGCCAGGGGAGCGAACGGGAUUAGAUACCCCGGUAGUCCUGGCCGUAAACGAUGACCACCAGGUGUGGGAGGUAUCGACCCCUUCCGUGCCGGAGGAAACCCACUAAGUGGUCCGCCUGGGGAGUACGGUCGCAAGAUUAAA